GACGUAGGGCGCGAGCGUUGUCCGGAUUUAUUGGGUGUAAAGGGUGCGUAGACGGCAUGUUAAGUCCGCUGUUAAAUUUCCCAGCUUAACUGGGAGCCAGCGGUGGAUACUGAUGUGCUAGAGGAUGGAAGAGAGAAGUGGAAUUCCCGGAGUAGCGGUAAAAUGCGUAGAUCUCGGGAGGAACACCAAUGGCGAAGGCAGCUUCUUGGUCCAUAUCUGACGUUGAGGCACGAAAGCGUGGGGAGCAAACAGG
rnacentral:rRNA from 1 species